AAAAAGAUCUCAACCAAGGCUUGGUGUUGUGGUGGGAACAAGGGUAUCUUCACAAAAGCUCAUGUAGAAUGUCACAUAUUGUAGUAUUGACAAUAAAGCUGACUUGACUUGAUCUGUCCCUUUUUUUCCUUCUUUUCUACAGAUGGUCUGGUUGUAUGGUUGCACAUAAAACUGUUCUUCUCUGGCUUCUGCUCUGAAAUCAAACCCAAAGAGAACUGGAUCUGACCUAUAAUCAAUCAGGAGAGUCUGGAAUGAAGCUGCUGUUUGGUCUACUGAAGGAUUUACACUGCACACUGGACAAACUACAGUCAAGUCUCUGCUUCGGUCUUCACGAACUGCCAGCAGAAAUUAACAGAGGCAAGAAAAACCUCAACAUUUCUGAUGUCAGGGUGAACAGUUAGUAUUUUCUGCUGGAGUGUAGCUGCUGUCUGAUCUACUGGAGGAUUCACAUACUGGAGAAACGACAGUGAGUUUAUGACUUUCUAUAGACACAAACUGACUGUUUAUACAUAUUAUGCACUAUUCU
ensembl:lncRNA